UCACGCCGGUCUAAACUCGGAUCAUGUAAAAUUUUAAAGGUCGAACAGACCCAAUAUUCUUAACUGCUACACCAAGAAUUAAUUUUAAUCCAACAUCGAGGUCGCAAACUUCAUUUUCGAUUAGAACUCUCAAAAAAUAUUACGCUGUUAUCCCUAAGGUAAUUUUUUCUUUUAAUCAUAAAAUAUGGAUCAAAUAAUCAUAUAUCAAUGUUUUUAAUAAAAAAAAGUUAAUUAAAUUUUUCAAUCACCCCAAUCAAAUAUAAAAAAAAAUUAAAAAUUUAUAUACCAAAAAAAUAUUAAUAUUCAUAUUUAUAUAAAACUCUAUAGGGUCUUCUCGUCUUUCAAAAUAAUUUUAGCUUUUUAACUAAAUAAUAAAUUUAUAAUUUAAUUUAAAUAGAGACAGCUAUUUUCUCAUCCAACCAUUCAUUCCAGCUUCUAAUUAAGAAACUAAUGAUUAUGCUACCUUAGCACGGUCAAAAUACCGCGGCCAUUUAACUAUUCAGUGGGCAGGCUAGACCUAAAAUUAAACUCAAUAGGACAUGUUUUUAAUAAACAGGUGAAAAAUAUAUUUGCCGAAUUCCUUUAUUUAACCUAAAAUUAUCAAAUUAAUUUUACAUUAAAUUAUACUAAUUUUAUCAUUAUUACUUAAUAUAAAAAAUUAAAAUUAAAAUUUUAAUAAAAAAUUUAUAAAAAAUAAAAAUCAAAUUUAAAAAAAAAAUAAAUUAUAACAUUCUUAUAAUAAUAGACACUUCUAAUCCUAUAACUUUCUCUAAAUCCCUAUUUCUAAUAAUUUUAUAUUUUUAAGCUUAUCCCUAAAAAUAUUAAAUAUUAAUAUUAAAAAAUUAAAAAAUUAAAUUUUUAAUAAAUAAUAUUCUAAAUUAAAUUUUUUUCUUAAAAAACCAGAUAUAUUUAAAAACGACUAACAUUUCAUUACAAAAAAUUUAUUAAUUAUAUUUUUUAAAUAAUAAAAAAAAUAAAUUCUUAACUCUUUUAAAUUCGAGAUAAUAAAAUCCUUUAAAUAAAUUAAUAAACCCUGAUACACAAGGUACAAAAAUUUAAAUCUUCUUAUAAAAAAUUAAAAUAAUUCUCCCACAAUACUCAUAAACUAUCAUAAAAAAUAUUUUUUCUUUAUAAAUAAUAAAAAAUAAUUUAUUUAUAACAAAAUAAAACUUAAUUAUUAUUAACUAAUAAUUUUUUAAUU
rnacentral:rRNA from 1 species